rnacentral:rRNA from 1 species
AGUCUGAUGGAGCACGCCGCGUGAGUGAAGAAGGGUUUCGGCUCGUAAAGCUCUGUUGGUAGUGAAGAAAGAUAGAGGUAGUAACUGGCCUUUAUUUGACGGUAAUUACUUAGAAAGUCACGGCUAACUACGUGCCAGCAGCCGCGGUAAUACGUAGGUGGCAAGCGUUGUCCGGAUUUAUUGGGCGUAAAGCGAGUGCAGGCGGUUCAAUAAGUCUGAUGUGAAAGCCUUCGGCUCAACCGGAGAAUUGCAUCAGAAACUGUUGAACUUGAGUGCAGAAGAGGAGAGUGGAACUCCAUGUGUAGCGGUGGAAUGCGUAGAUAUAUGGAAGAACACCAGUGGCGAAGGCGGCUCUCUGGUCUGCAACUGACGCUGAGGCUCGAAAGCAUGGGUAGCGAACAGGAUUAGAUACCCUGGUAGUCCAUGCCGUAAACGAUGAGUGCUAAGUGUUGGGAGGUUUCCGCCUCUCAGUGCUGCAGCUAACGCAUUAAGCACUCCGCCUGGGGAGUACGACCGCAAGGUUGAAACUCAAAGGAAUUGGACGGG